CCUACGGGUGGCUGCAGUAAGGAAUAUUGGUCAAUGGGCGGAAGCCUGAACCAGCCACGCCGCGUGCAGGAAGAAGGCCCUACGGGUUGUAAACUGCUUUUAUACGGGAAGAACCGCCCUCCUGCGGGGGGGUAUGACGGUACCGUAGGAAUAAGCAUCGGCUAACUCCGUGCCAGCAGCCGCGGUAAUACGGAGGAUGCAAGCGUUAUCCGGAUUCAUUGGGUUUAAAGGGUGCGUAGGUGGGUCCAUAAGUCAGUGGUGAAAUCCGGCAGCUC
rnacentral:rRNA from 1 species